AUUGAACGCUGGCGGCAUGCCUUACACAUGCAAGUCGAACGGUAACGGGCCUUCGGGUGCCGACGAGUGGCGAACGGGUGAGUAAUGUAUCGGAACGUACCUUUCAGUGGGGGAUAACGUAGCGAAAGUUACGCUAAUACCGCAUAUUCUGUGAGCAGGAAAGCAGGGGAUCGCAAGACCUUGCGCUGAUUGAGCGGCCGAUAUCAGAUUAGCUAGUUGGUGAGGUAAAGGCUCACCAAGGCGACGAUCUGUAGCGGGUCUGAGAGGAUGAUCCGCCACACUGGAACUGAGACACGGUCCAGACUCCUACGGGAGGCAGCAGUGGGGAAUUUUGGACAAUGGGGGCAACCCUGAUCCAGCCAUGCCGCGUGAGUGAAGAAGGCCUUC
rnacentral:rRNA from 1 species